UCCGUCUGUGCAACUAACAUCCCGGCCCCACUUGUCAUCUUCCCCAUGGAGCCGUGUUCGUCAGAAACACUGUAACUCGCCGAGCUGCAGCGAUAUUGAUGAGUCAGUCGAUUCGAUCGAUCCCUCGACUCCACGUGCAAGUUGGAGUUCGAAUUCCGACGCCCAAUAAGUUCUUCGACCUCCCGUGCCGUUUCUCGCCGUUCGCCUCAAUUUUUGGAUCUCGCUGGAGUUCGACGCCCGAAGCUCUUGACGCUGGACGAAUUCGUCACCAUCGCGGGAACCCACGGAGGCGAGCGCACAAAGGACUCCCGAGGGAGAUCGCCCCGGGCCCAACUUCAGCCGUUCGUCUCCGUCGCAUAAGGAAGCCCCGACGCUCACGAGAUCACCGCCGAGUUCGCGUUCAUGCGUCGCGAGCCAUCUGACCCUCCCCGGAGCCUGAAGACUUACAGGAUCGCCGGCCGCAUUGAGUAGAGCCGCCGCGCGCCGUUCUGCUUCAAGUCCGGUGAAGCCAGCUCUGUUCUUUCUCCGAUUGUUCGGAGUGUAAGGAGGAUCAGAAUUAAACGUUAGAGAACUUCAGCACCAUUCAAGGCAAGUUGCCCUUUUUUAUCAUAGUUAAUCCUAUUUUUAUGAUGCAUGUGUUGGAUAUGUUUUGGUGCGAUUCAUGUUCCUUGUUGCGUUAUGUGUGUAUCGUUUGUGUUGUGUAAUUGUGUGCUCAGUUUCGUUUUGGUAUACGAUGUAGAUUCUUGAGAUUGUUGAGCUUAUAUGUGAGGACUUGUUAAUAACUUGAGUAGAAACUUAUUAUAAAAAUCACCUUGGGAUGACAAGGUUGCAUUAUGGACAUUCUUCAUGGUUGUGCUUCGUCUUGUUUAGGGUUGCAUUAUGGUGUAUCUACCCACGACUGUGUGCUUCAUAGAAGGAAAGUUGCAUUAUGGGUAUGGUCCAUGGUUGUGCUCCGAGUAGUUUAUAUGAGGGUUGCAUUGUGGUGUAUCUUCCCACGGUCGCGUGCUUCCCUAAGUAAGGUUGCAUUGUGGUGUACCCACCCACGGUUGUGUGCUCAUUGGUAGGGUUGCAUUAUGGGGUGCACACGGUUGUGUGCUCCCUAGUAGUUUUCACCCACGCUCAUGAAGACUAGACAUAAUCGGUGUACAAUAGCUUCCAUUUGGAGUAAACUUUACAUAUCUCUAUGGAGUGUCAUACUUUGCAUUGUAGAUGUAGGUUUGCUAUAUCAUUUAUGUGCAAUUUUCCAAUACAUUCAACUUAUCACGUUGUAGAUUUUAUGUGACGAGUGAGUGAUACAAUGUAGGGUUCCAAUGUCUAUACUUGAAUUUUACUUGUGGUGCUGAUGGACUUCAUGGAGAUUUUAUUUACCUUUCCGUUGUGUUUUGUUUGUAUGCUAGCUUGAGUUAUGCAAUAUUGUAAUUCUAGAUCUAUGAUGUAAUAUUAUGACAUGUGGUUCAUUCUUGAUAUUAAAUUGUGUACUCUCUGUGCUAGCUAAUGAUCCAGGGACUAGCACAACAAGCAUAGAGACAUCGAAUCUUAUCAGGUUCGGGUCGUUACACAAGGAGAAGUCGGUGGACGCUACUUUCUAUCGAAGCAUCAUCGACAGCCCGAGGUAUCUCGUGCACACCCAACUAGACAUCUCAUUCGUCGUCGGGUUCGUGAGCAGGUUCAUGGAGGCUCCCACCAGCGAUUAUCUCGCGGCGGUCAAGCACCUCCUCGGGUACAUCGCAUGCACGAUCACACAUGCAUGUGUGUAUCAUCAUGACGACGAUGACAACCUGGUCGGUUAUAGUGACUCUGACCACGUUGGUGACUUGGACUCCACGAAGAGCACCUCUCGCAUAUGGUUCUUCCUAGGGAGCAGUCUCCUCAACAAGCAAUCGCUGAGGCAGAAGGUUGUCUCGACUUCUUCAUGCGUGGCAAAGUACACUGCGGUAGCUAUGGCCGCAUGUGAGAGAAUUUGGCUGGCUUGCUGAUACGUCUACAACGUAUCUAUAAUUUUUAAUUGUUACGUGUUAUUGUAUUAUCGUUCUAGGAUGAUUUUUUAGUAAUUAUUUAUCAGUUUAUAUUA